rnacentral:rRNA from 1 species
UACGAAGGGGGCUAGCGUUACUCGGAUUGACUGGGCGUAAAGGGCGCGUAGGCGGAUAGUACAGUCAGACGUGAAAUUCCUGGGCUCAACCUGGGGGCUGCGUUUGAUACGUGCUGUCUGGAGUUCGGAAGAGGGUCGUGGAAUUCCCAGUGUAGAGGUGAAAUUCGUAGAUAUUGGGAAGAACACCGGUGGCGAAGGCGGCGACCUGGUCCGAUACUGACGCUGAGGCGCGAAAGCGUGGGGAUCAAACAGG